rnacentral:rRNA from 1 species
UUAGCUGGUCUGAGAGGAUGGCCAGCCACACUGGAACUGAGACACGGUCCAGACUCCUACGGGAGGCAGCAGUGGGGAAUAUUGGACAAUGGGGACAACCCUGAUCCAGCAAUGCCGCGUGUGUGAAGAAGGCCUGAGGGUUGUAAAGCACUUUCAGUGGGGAGGAGGGUUGAUAGGUUAAGAGCUARUUAAUUGGACGUUACCCACAGAAGAAGCACCGGCUAACUCCGUGCCAGCAGCCGCGGUAAUACGGAGGGUGCGAGCGUUAAUCGGAAUUACUGGGCGUAAAGGGUGCGUAGGUGGUUURUUAAGUUAUCUGUGAAAUCCCUGGGCUUAACCUGGGCAGGUCAGAUAAGACUGUUAGACUCGAGUAUGG